CACAAAAGAAAAUAAGGAACCAAUGUUUAACCAAGAAUUAACAAGCUCUGGCCUCUGCAUCAACUUAACUCUUUAGUACAACAAGGUUAUUCUUGUACAGUGAUGGUCUUUUCUUUGCAGUGUCCAAAUCCUGACUUCAAUAAAGAGCAAAAUAGGUGGACAAUGGUCUGAAGAAUGCUUGUCGAAAGAGCAAGAGUACAUGAAUGGACUAGCAAUACCAUUCUAGAAAUGACCAAACAAAGGCACCAGUUGAAACAAUUGACCGAUGCCCAACACAAGCUACCAUAGCAUAUCACCUUGGUGGACACUAAUUCUAGAAUCUGGUCCAUGGAAUCCACAAAGGGGAAAGCAGUCCUGGAGGACCAGCAGGACCGUGGAUGGAGCUGCAUCGGAUGGGAAGGAGCUGUCUGGCGACUAAAUCGCGUCGUCUCGCCGUGCUCGAAGACAUCCGCGCCGCCUUCCUACACAUCCCAGCAAAUGAAUCGAGAGGAGGUGCCAGCUUGAUGAUGAGCUGACCAUCUUCUCCGAUGGAGGUCGUGCGCGUGCCGGCGGCCGGAGUCCGCGGUCGUAGAGGUGCACCCGCCUGGAGGCAAGCCCUCGUCCUCGUGGUCGACCUGGCCGGCCAUGGUCGGACAUCGACGGACCCGGAAUCGAAUCAACCGUCCAACACGUCAACGCAAUCAAGCUGUUCUAGCUUGUGCAGAAUUGGGGAAAAAGAAAGCGCAGAAAGAUGGAGGCUCCAGGCCGGAGAUAGCAAAAGGAGAGGCGAAUCUGAUUGGGUCCGGCAGCGGCGGAAGAGGCCGGGUUGGCGCGGUGGUCGUCAUGCAGCUCGGCCUGGGGGAGUUUUACGCUAGCGAGCAAGCAAGCCAUGGCUAGCGCAC